rnacentral:rRNA from 1 species
AUUUAACCUCAAAUCAGGUAAGAAUACCCGCUGAACUUAAGCAUAUCAAUAAGCGGAGGAAAAGAAAAUAACAAUGAUUCCCUUAGUAACUGCGAGUGAAGAGGGACAAGCUCAAAUUUUAAAUCUGUUAGGUUCAUCUAACCGAGUUGUAAUUUGAAGAGGCGUUUUCUGCGUUUUUGAUCAGUCCAAGUCCUUUGGAAUAAGGCAUCAUGGAGGGUGAGAAUCCCGUUCGGUUGAUCAAAUUUGCUUUAUGAUACGUCAUCUAAGAGUCAAGUUGUUUGGGAUUGCAGCUUAAAAUGGGAGGUAAAUUUCUCCUAAGGCUAAAUAACGGCGAGAGACCGAUAGCGAACAAGUACCGUGAGGGAAAGAUGAAAAGAACUUUGAAAAGAGAGUUAAACAGUACGUGAAAUUGUUGAAAGGGAAACGAUUGAAGCCAGUCGUACCUUCGGGUAAUCAGCCUUUCGGGUGCGAUUCUGUGGAGCGUGGGGAGUUAAACGCCUUCAUGCCUGCAUAUUCGUGCACUUUGGGUGUACUUGCCCGUGUGGUAGGUUAACAUCAAUUUCGGAUGUCAUAAAAUGGCUGGAGGAAUGUAGCUUCGGUCUCGUACUGAAGUGUUAUAGCCUUUGGUAGAUGUGAUGACCGGGAUUGAGGAUUGCAACGAAUACCUUUUGGGCUAUCCGUCUGAUCUCUGAAAGUUGCUCUGGUGCCGAAAGCUUGCUUACGGUUAUCAAAGUUGACGUUCAAAAGGUUAGAACGGGUUAAAUUCGUUAAGGAUGUUGACGUAAUGGCUUUAAACGACCCGUCUUGAAACACGGACCAAGGAGUCUAACAUAUAUGCGAGUGUUA